CACGUAGGGUGCGAGCGUUGUCCGGAAUUAUUGGGCGUAAAGGGCGCGCAGGCGGCUACGCACGUCCGUUGUGAAAUCGCUCGGCUCAACUGGGCGGGGUCAGCGGAUACGGCGUAGCUGGAGCAAGCUAGGGGGCAAUGGAAUUCCCGGUGUAGUGGUGGAAUGCGUAGAUAUCGGGAGGAACACCAGUGGCGAAGGCGGUUGCCUGGAGCUUUGCUGACGCUGAGGCGCGAAAGCGUGGGGAGCGAGCCGG
rnacentral:rRNA from 1 species